GCGACCUCCAAAGUGAGCCAAGCCGUUUCCUUUGCUUGUCAGGGUUGCAAGAGAGUCAGGGGCAGAGAGGGGAGUAAAGGACAAUGACCCUACUAAUAUCCGAAUUAUAUCCUUCUACCAAAAAAGCCCCCCAAGAGGAAUAAGCUGUGCCUUGAAGAAUGCAUCUUUUCAUGUUUAGGUGAAUGUGAUUUAAUUUUUUUUUUUUAAAUGAUAUUUAUUAAAGUUUCACAAAAAUACAGAAAACAAAGAAAAAAGUAUAAAUUACAGCAAAAAAGUAAAAAGUAAGAAAAAACAUACAAAAUAAAACAAUUAAAAACACAAUGAUGUUCCAUAACCUAUCUUCCUUACUCUUAUUCCCCGGACCUCCUCAUACCUCCCUUCUUUGUAUUCCAAUUCAGUUUGUUGGUUCAGCAAAUCCUUACCAUUAAUCUUUUACCCAAUUGUUAACCUUUUUUUUCAUGUCUCUUAAAGCAUUACAGCUAAAAACCUCUUAAUUUCUAUCCAACAUCCUUCUAAAGUUCCUUAAUUUUACAAUAUUUCUGUAAAUAGUCCUUAAAUUUUUUCCAAUCUUCUUUCACCGACUCUUCUCCCUGGUCUCGGAUUCUGCCAGUCAUUAGGUGAAUGUGAUUUAAUGUGCCUUUUGCUAUGUCUGUCUCGCUAAAAGGAGCCUGAAUAUACUUGCUGAGGU